AGCAGCCGCGGUAAUUCCAGCUCCAAUAGCGUAUAUUAAAGUUGUUGCAGUUAAAAAGCUCGUAGUUGAAUUUCGGGGUUAGUAGAUUGGUCAUGCCUCUGGUAUGUACUGGUCUCACUGAUUCCUCCUUCCUGAUGAACCUUAAUGCCAUUUAUUUGGUGUUUUUGGGGAAUUUGGACUGUUACUUUGAAAAAAUUAGAGUGUUUAAAGCAAGCUAACGCUUGAAUACAUUAGCAUGGAAUAAUGAAAUAGGACGUUCGAUCCUAUUUUGUUGGUUUCUAGGAUUGACGUAAUGAUUAAUAGGGAUAGUUGGGGGCAUUAGUAUUCAAUUGUCAGAGGUGAAAUUCUUGGAUUUAUUGAAGACUAACUACUGCGAAAGCAUUUGCCAAGGAUGUUUUCAUUAAUCAAGAACGAAAGUUAGGGAUCGAAGACGAUCAGAUACCGUCGUAGUCUUAACCAUAAACUAUAGCCGACUAGGGAUCGGAUGAUGUUAAUUUUUAAUGUACUUCAUUCGGCGUCC
rnacentral:rRNA from 1 species